ACAGCUGAGGAAGGCUCCCACGCCGAAACGAAUCCUUGUACUACACUAUGGAAUGAUAAAUCUUCACUGUGCAUUACUGCAAUUUGUAUCAGCCAUAAUAGCGGAGUCAUUCUUGAGAAGUCGUAGGAGGAAAGCUGAAUCUAAAGGCAUCUUGUUGGUGAAGAAUUGACAUCACUACACUUUUCCCAUAGGUUUCUGACUCUUCGCUUAUUUCAGAUGAAUCCUUCAUUUCCUGUUUUGGUACCUUUUUGCCUGACCAUUGCUGACUUGGACUUCCUGAUUAUUCUUGACAUCUUGGCACUUAGUCCAGCCUAGGGGCCGUAGCC